rnacentral:tRNA from 1 species
GCCUGACUGGCUCAGUCAGUAGAGCAUGUGACUCUUGAUCUUGGGGUUGUGAGUUCAAGCCCACAUUAGGUU